GACGAACGCUGGCGGCGUGCCUAAUACAUGCAAGUCGAGCGAAGUUUUUCUGGUGCUUGCACCGGAAAAACUUAGCGGCGAACGGGUGAGUAACACGUAAAGAACCUGCCUUAUAGACUGGGACAACUAUUGGAAACGAUAGCUAAUACCGGAUAACAGCAUUAACUGCAUGGUUGAUGUUUGAAAGUUGGUUUUGCUAACACUAUGAGAUGGCUUUGCGGUGGAUUAGCUAGUUGGUGGGGUAAAGGCCUACCAAGGCGACGAUGCAUAGCCGACCUGAGAGGGUGAUCGGCCACACUGGGACUGAGACACGGCCCAGACUCCUACGGGAGGCAGCAGUGGGGAAUCUUCCGCAAUGGGCGAAAGCCUGACGGAGCAACGCCGCGUGAGUGAAGAAGGAUUUCGGUUCGUAAAGCUCUGUUGUUAGGGAAGAAUGAUUGUGUAGUAACUAUACACAGUAGAGACGGUACCUAAACAGAAAGCCACGGCUAACUACGUG
rnacentral:rRNA from 1 species